AUUGAACGCUGGCGGCAUGCCUUACACAUGCAAGUCGAACGGCAGCACGGGAGCAAUCCUGGUGGCGAGUGGCGAACGGGUGAGUAAUAUAUCGGAACGUGCCCAGUGAUGGGGGAUAGCCCGGCGAAAGCCGGAUUAAUACCGCAUACGACCUACGGGUGAAAGCAGGGGAUCGCAAGACCUUGCGUCAUUGGAGCGGCCGAUAUCAGAUUAGCUUGNGGUGGGGUAAAGCCUACCAAGGCGACGAUCUGUAGCUGGUCUGAGAGGACGACCAGCCACACUGGGACUGAGACACGGCCCAGACUCCUACGGAGGCAGCAGUGGGGAAUUUUGGACAAUGGGCGCAAGCCUGAUCCAGCCAUGCCG
rnacentral:rRNA from 1 species